CUUUAUUUUAACACCUAAUCUAUUUUUAUGAUAGAAUUUCAAUUAUUACACUGAAUUUGAGUCUUUUACUCUUGAGUUUACUUAAAAUUUUUUAAAAGUAAAACUUCGAUAAUAAUUUUUUAUUGACUGCAUUAUUAAAUUUUUGAUUCUGAUAGUUUAGACAAAUUAUACUAUUCGAAGAUUGUUGCAGAAUUCCUUACUUUGGAGCAACAAAGAUCAUUUCAAAGUUACGAAACGUCGUCCGGAACGUAAAACAG
rnacentral:misc_RNA from 1 species